rnacentral:rRNA from 1 species
CUCCAGACUCCUACGGGAGGCAGCAGUGGGGAAUAUUGCACAAUGGGGGAAACCCUGAUGCAGCGACGCCGCGUGAGCGAUGAAGUAUUUCGGUAUGUAAAGCUCUAUCAGCAGGGAAGAAAAUGACGGUACCUGACUAAGAAGCCCCGGCUAACUACGUGCCAGCAGCCGCGGUAAUACGUAGGGGGCAAGCGUUAUCCGGAUUUACUGGGUGUAAAGGGGGCGCAGACGGCAGCGCAAGCCAGGAGUGAAAGCCCGGGGCCCAACCCCGGGACUGCUCUUGGAACUGCGUGGCUGGAGUGCAGGAGGGGCAGGCGGAAUUCCUGGUGUAGCGGUGAAAUGCGUAGAUAUCAGGAGGAACACCGGUGGCGAAGGCGGCCUGCUGGACUGCAACUGACGUUGAGGCCCGAAAGCGUGGGGAGCAAACAGGAUUAGAUACCCCUGUA